AAAUAAACUAGAGAUUAAUAUGUGGGUUUUGCUAUAUUUUAAGGACUUGGUUGUAAAUUAUCAAUUUUUUUUUUAACAUAAAGCUAGUACUCUAGGAAAGGAUAUUAGAUGGUCAUAUUAUUAUUGGUGUCUGGUUGUAUUUUAGUCUCAGGUUGUCCCUUUCAUGGGUCAUGCAGGUUGUUAAUUCCUAGUGUGUCUUGCGGUUGAGGUCA
rnacentral:misc_RNA from 1 species